rnacentral:sRNA from 2 species
AUACCCCAUGAUGCUCAGGUCCGCCGCAUCUCCUGGGUCGUGGGGUCGGUCGACUGGCAAGCAAUUUCAACGGCUCCUCGUGCCGCGAUUGCAAGCCGGUCGACCCCCAA